UACAAUGGAGAGUUUGAUCCUGGCUCAGGAUGAACGCUAGCUACAGGCUUAACACAUGCAAGUCGAGGGGUAACGACAGCGAAAGCUUGCUUUUGCUGGGCGACGACCGGCGCACGGGUGAGUAACGCGUAUCCAACCUGCCCAUAACUAAGGGAUAAUCCGUAGAAAUGCGGUCUAAUACCUUAUGUGUUCCGAGGAAGACAUCUGAAUUGGAAUAAAGAUUUAUCGGUUAUGGAUGGGGAUGCGUCUGAUUAGAUUGUUGGCGGGGCAACGGCCCACCAAGUCUACGAUCAGUAGGGGUUCUGAGAGGAAGGUCCCCCACA
rnacentral:rRNA from 1 species